UACAGAGGUCCCAAGCGUUGUUCGGAUUCACUGGGCGUAAAGGGUGCGUAGGCGGCCCUGUAAGUCAGUGGUGAAAUACUGCAGCUUAACUGUAGCAUUGCCAUUGAUACUGUAGGGCUUGAGUACAGAUGAGGUAGGCGGAAUUGAUGGUGUAGCGGUGAAAUGCAUAGAUACCAUCAAGAACACCGAUUGCGAAGGCAGCUUACUAAGCUGUAACUGACGCUGAGGCACGAAAGCGUGGGGAUCGAACAGG
rnacentral:rRNA from 1 species